GUUGCCAAUGCAGGAGGAUUGCUUGAGCCCAGGAGUUUGAGACCAGCCUGGGCAGAAUAGCAAGACUCCAUCUCUGCAAAUAAUAAAAUAUUAACCAGGUGUGGUGGUGCGCACCUGGGGUCCCAGCUACCUGGGAGGCUAAGGUGGGAGGUUUGCUUGAGGCUUCAGUGAACUGUGAAUGCACCACUGCAUUCCAGCCUAGGCCACAGAACAGGACCUUGUUUAUAAAUAAAGAAAUAAGUAAAAAUAUAAAUAAAAAGUAAAAAUAACUAUAAGUAAAUAUAAAUAUAAAAAUGCAUACAUGAAAAGAAACAAUUUUUAAAUUUAACAUCACUGAGGGCAUCCUAUCCAUUUCAUUUCAUGAUUCCAUUACAUCAUUUCACUUAGAUGAAAUGAUGAGAUGAAAUGAUGAGAUGAAAUGACGAAAUGAUGAGAUGAGAUGAUGAGAUGAAAUUUUGAGAUGAAAUGGUGAGUAGAAAUGAUGAGAUGAAAUGAUGAGACGAAAUGACAAAAUUGAAAAGAAAUUGAAAGGAGAGGAGAUGAGAUAAAAUGAGAUGAAAUGAGAUGAUGGAUGAAAUGAGAUGAAACGAGAUGAAAUGAAAUAAUGAAAUGAUAUGAAAUAAUGAAAUUGUAAUGAGAUGAUAUGAGAUGAAAUAAUGAGAUAAAAUGAUGAGAUGAGAUGAACGAUGAGAUGAAAUGAUGAAAUGAAAUGAGAUGAAAAAUGAUGAGAUGAAAAAUGAGAUGAAAUGAAAUAAUGAAAUGAGAUGAAAUGAAAUGAAAUAAUGAAAGGAAAUUAUGAAAUGUAAUGAUGAAAUUGAAAUGAGAUGAGUUGAAAUGAUGAGAUGUAAUGGUGAAAUGAAAUGAUGAAAUGAGAUGAGAUGAAAUGAGAUGAAAUAAUGAGAUGAAAUGAGAUAAUGAGAUGAGAUGAAAUCAUGAGAUGAAAUGAUGAAAUGAAAUGAAAUGAUGGAUGAAAUUAUGAGAUGAAAGAUGAAAUGUAAUGAGAUGAAAUGAAAUGACAUAAUGAAAUGAAAUAAUGAAAUGAGAUGAAAUAAAAUAAUGAAAUGAUGAAAUAAUGAAAUGAAAAUGAAAUGGAAAUGAUGAGAUGAGAAGAAAUGAUGAGAUGAAAUGAUGAAAUGAUGAGAUGAGAUAAAAUGAGAUGAAAUGGUGAGAUGAGAUGAAAUAUGAUGAGAUGAAAUGACAUAAUGAAUGAAAUGAUGAAAUGGAAUAAUGAAAUGGAAAUGAUGAGCUGAGAUGCAAUGAGUUGAAAUGAGAUGAAAUGAUGAAAUGAUGAGAUGAAAUGAUGAGAUGAGAUGUGAUGAAAUGAUGACAUGAAAUGAUGACAUAAAAUGAGAUGAAAUGAGAUGUAAUGAUGGAAUGAGAUGAGAUGAAAUGAGAUGAAAUGAUAGAUGAGAUAAAAUGAUAUGAAAUGAUGAGAUGAAUGAUGAGAUGAUGAGAUGAAUGAUGAAAUGAAAUGAUGAGAUGAGAUGAUGAAAUGAAAUGGUGAGAUGAAAUGAGAUGAAAUGAAAUAAUGAAAUGAAAUUGAAAUAAAAUCGAAAUGAGAUGAGAUGAAAUGAUGAGAUGAUGAAAUAAAAUGAUGAAAUGAUGAGGUGAUGAGAUGAAAUGAUGAGAUGAAAUGAUGAGAUGAGAUGACAUGAAAUAAUGAAACGAAAUUGAAAUGAGAUAAGAUACGAGAUGAGAUGAAAUGAUGAGAUGAAAUGAAAUGAUGAGAUAAGAUGAAAAGAGUUGAUGAGAUGAUGAGAUGAAAUGAGAUGAAAAGAUGAAAUGAUGAGAUGAAAUGAUGAGAUGAAAUGAGGUGAAAUGAAAUUAGAUGAAAUGUAAUGAGAUGAAAUGAAAUGACAAUGAAAUGAAAAAAUGAAAUGAAAUAAUGAAAUGAGGUGAAAUUAAAUGAGAUGAUGAAAUUAAAUGAUGAAAUGAAAUAAUGAAAUGGAAAUGAUGAGAUGAAAUGAGAUGAAUGAUGAGAUGAAAUGAUGAGAUGCAAUGAUGAGAUGAAAUGAUGAGAUGAGAUGUAAUGAUGAGAGGAAAUGAGAUGUAAUGAAAUGAGAUGAAAUGAAUGAGAUGAAAUGAAAUAAUGAAAUUGAAUUGAGAUAUGAGAUGAAAUGAGAUAAAAUGAGAUGAAAUAAAUGAUGAGAUGAAA